CUCAGAAUAAGCCAACAGUGUGAUGUGAUUGCUAACAAUCCAACACAAUGUGAGCUAGAAGAAUGAAUAGAAACCCAGUACUCUUGGGAAGGAGUGCUCUCAUUACAUUCUUGGUCAGUUGACAAUUGGGUUAUCAUGUUCACUUUUGGGCAUGAGAUGUUGAGAAGGGCAUUGACAAAUUAGAGUGUACUCAAAGAUGGGUUAAGAUGGGGAAAGUUGCAGAAAUUAUUUGAUGUGAGGAGAGGUUGAAGGAUCAGAGAACAUUCUGCCUAGAGAAGCAAAAACAAGAGGACCUGUGAGAGAUGCAUGUCACUGAGGAAGAAUUCGGUCCAUUCUCCGAGGUUGGACUAAAGCCAAAGAGUGGAAGACAGGGGAAAGCCCAUUUACUUUCAGGUUAAGAAACCUUUCUCAAUUAAUAUAAUCAAGAGAAAUAAUGAUCGUUGUAUAACCCAAGUUUCAAAAACAUGAGCUCAUUGGUGAAAUGAGCUAUUGUUUCCAUAUCAUAGAUAAGGUCAUUGUCUGAAACGGUCCAGGAAUUGUAUACUGACCUAUCCCCAGUGCCUAGAAUGUUCCCUGGCAAAUAUUUGUUGAAUGAGUGAGUCCUUUCCUGAAGACACACAGAUGGAUUCCUGACUCCAUGACAUGCCUUGGAGCAACUCGCAGAUGCCAGAGGAUGCCUUGGGAGGUCGAAGUGCUCUUGUCAGCAAAGAGCACGUGAACAUUGGCUGGUAUGUAUUAGAGGGCUUUCUGGCAUGGGGCGACAGGGGUGGGGGUAGGGCCAAGGACCUCAAAACCCCUUCCAAUUCAGAGGUUUCAUGCAGAAUAUUCCUAACAUUCAAAGAGCACUAACUUGCUGCUGGAGAACACAUGCAGGGCGUGGAAUGUCUUCACACACAUCCAGCAGCCCCGCGGUUGAUGCUAUCUUCCCCCGGAACCCUUUUAGCGGCUCUCCCUAUAGAUCUCUAUCUUGGGCGCGGCUGUGUAUAUCCAGUGCUUCUAUAUCCAGACACCCAGGGUAAAAUUUACCCAUACAAAGGCUCGGAGACGAUGGAAUUUCAGCUCACUGCACUGCCUGAGCCCCUGACUCUGUCUCUUCACCAUCCAACUGUGGUGCAGCCUUGAAAAUGACUCACUGCGGGGCAGCCUGGGUGGCUCAGCAGUUUAGCGCCGUCAUCAGCCCAGGGUGUGAUCUCAGAGACCUGGGAUGGAGUCCCGCCUCGUGCUCCCAUGCGCAAGGGGCCUGCUUCUCCCUCGGCCUGUGUCUCUGCCUCUCUCUCUCUGUGUCUCUAUGAAUGAAUGAAUGAAUGAAUAAAUAAAUAAAUUCUUAAAAAAAAAAGAAAAUG
rnacentral:lncRNA from 12 species